UACGGGGGGGGCAAGCGUUGUUCGGAAUUACUGGGCGUAAAGGGCUCGUAGGCGGCCAACUAAGUCAGACGUGAAAUCCCUCGGCUUAACCGGGGAACUGCAUCUGAUACUGGAUGGCUUGAGUUUGGGAGAGGGAUGCGGAAUUCCGAGGUGUAGCGGUGAAAUGCGUAGAUAUCUGGAGGAACACCGGUGGCGAAGGCGGCAUCCUGGACCAACACUGACACUGAGGAGCGAAAGCCAGGGGAGCAAACGGG
rnacentral:rRNA from 1 species